rnacentral:lncRNA from 1 species
GAAAACCUCUCGACACCCACGGUCUCGCCGGAGAUGGGUGCGCCUAUUCCCGGGCUGAUUCCGUGCUAAAUCCUUGGUAAAAAGGACAGAAUAACCUCAAUAAUCACAUCCAAGCAACAAACCAACACGGAAAGAGAGGUUCGAGGCUUACCUAACCAUAACCCAUGAAGAACUCGCCGGAGAUUCUUGGGGUUUCGUCGAGUUGCGCAGCGACGGGAGAGAGAGAAAGAGAGAGAGAGAGACGACGGCGUGUAGAAGGUGGUGACGAUGCCGUCGACGGAGUACCACGAAGGGUGUGCGUGGGUGCUCUCGGGUGUGGGUCAAAGGGUGAAAGAGUGAGGGUCUUCGAGAGAGGGAGAGUGAGUGCAGAGAAGAAAGAAGGAGAAAGAGGUCACGGGGUGGGGAGAGAGAGAGAUACGUGAGGGUGCUAGGGUGCUACCACGUGGUAGCUUGAGAGAAUUUGGAAAUCAAGAUGAAUGGUCCAGAUUUGGUUAAGAUAGGGGACUAAAACGAUAAUUUCAUAAUUAUUUGGGGAACCACGAAAAUAUAUAAAAAUUUGGGAUUGGGUUGUUACAAUGUGUCUGUGCGUGUGUGUGUGUAGAAGUGGGGUGUGUGUGUGUGUUAUCCGAGAGAAG